CUAAUAUGUACAUGCUUUAUUUAUGCACUGCAGAUUAUAAGAGCUAGAAAACUACUAUUGGAGGACUCCAGUAUAAAACAAUAAAGAUACUAUUAGCUUGUUCAUCUAAGCAAAGAGAGAAAGCAAAGAGGAAACAGGAAUGUACAUUACCCUUUGUAGAGAACUUCCAUGCACAUUCUUCAUUGCUCAAGCUCUUGUCAUUUUCAGUUUGCAUUGCUGUUAUUUAAGCUACUUUGCGCACUUGAAGUUGUCAAGUUGGUCGAAGGGCAGCUUGUCUUGUCAGGUUAGCACAUAAGGCAAUGGAACCACUUCCAAAGAGCCAAGGAAGAGAUUGUUCAUAAUGGAACCUAUACAAAACAAUGAAGGUCGUACGCCAUUUGCAGACUUGACAAACUCCAUUAAUGGAGCUGUUCAUACAACAUCAAAUUCACAAGUGCAAGCUGAUGAACGUGUGCAACGUAAAAGGGAAAGAGAAAAGGCAAGACAUGCAACAAUGACUCAAGAACAAAGGGAUGAAAAAAAAAUAAAAAACAUAGAGAAAAAUAUCAUCAAAAAAAGGCAGAAACUUCACUAGCUGCUGGGUCCAGAGAUGGAUUUAAAUCAACCACGGAAAACACCAAUGGCUAUGAAGAUAGUGACUGGCUACAUCGAGACAAUUCAUAUAAACCCAUGCCGAGUGAUAAAGAAAACACAUAUAAUUACUCCGAUAGAUGUGUAGAUCAAAGUGGCAUGCUUGACUUGACUGUUGCAUCACCUGAUCUAAACCCAGGUGUUGUCAAUACAUCCAGUCCCAUCAAGGACAUUGUCACGUG